AAAAAAAAAGCAAGCUGUCUGCAAUAAUUAAUAGACAAUAAAGCACAUAACUACAGGACAUGCCACCCAACCCAAGUUCCAUUUUACACUUUAGGCUUUAAGCUGCAAGAGCUUGAACUGGGGCCUGGAGGCUACAUCUAAAUUUAUGUGCCCAUUGACUCUCCCCCAAGAAUAUCCCUUUCUUCCUUUAUAACUGCACCAAGUAUACGCUUGUGGUGAUAAGCACAAGAUCAAAUAAUCAUACAUCAACAA
rnacentral:misc_RNA from 1 species